GGGAUUCCUGAGCUGUGGGCACAUUGGCCUGGCGCACGGUUCUGCCUGCCUCCGACAUCCUCCCCUUGCCUCGCUCUUGGCCGCGCAAUUCCAGGAACCCUCCAUCGCCGCCCACCAUCAUCGCACUAUCUAUCGCCGCCCGCCAUCAUCGGCCCGCGCAACCACCCCAUGCGUCGAUGCUUGCCCCGUCCCCGUCCCUGCGAUGCCCGCGGCCAGGGGGAUUCACAGCCUUCACCGUGCCGCCGCUGAACCACACCUUCGCUCGCGGUGCCUCUGCCCCCGCUCUCGUCCGCCGCCACGGGCGCCGCAUCAUCCCCGCCCCUCCCUCGCCCAUCCCCUCCGGUCAUCCCGCCACCCCCCGCGUCGCACACACACCCCGCAUCUGCUCUCCUGUCCCUUCCCCUCCAGCGAUUUCGCCUCCCACCCGUGCUGCACACACCUCGCUGUCACUUCUGUCCAUCCCACCUCCCCCCGCGGUUGUGUGCUGCCCAGCCCAUCUCCGCUCCUCGACAAGACCAAUGGCGGUUGUUGCGUCCUCCGCUCUGCACGCCGUUGGCGCCGUCGCCUCCGCUAAGCCCAGAUCCAUCGCCCCCGCGGUGGCGAGGAGGAGGAGCGUGCGCAUGGAUCCCCAGCAUGUCGCGCGAUACCCGUCCCCAGCCCACGCCCCCACCUAGCUCCCUAGACGCACGCACGCAGGCGGCGGUGGUGCCCAUGGCUUCGUGGCUGUUGCUCCCCUUCUCCUUCCCGUGGCCUGCCCCGCCCCCACCCGGCUACUCCUCUUGCCGCAGCAGCGGCAGCGAUGGUGGCGGAGACAGCGGCUAUUGGAGGCCGACCGUCGUUGCAGCCUUCGCAGGCGCGCAAGUCGGCCGCGCUCUCCGUCGCCGCUUCGCCGGCCUCCUCCGCUCACCGAUGUCAAAGUAGGCGUUUCGCCGUGGGAGACAGGCCUCCUCACGCUCUGCGGGUCCGUCAGCCGCACUGGUGCCUCUACGGUCUCCUCCUGCUCGCGCUCGUGGUACGCGCCACCCGCUCGCGGUAGUGCUGCGUCUGCGGCCAUUGCAUCGACCGCGUCGUUCCCUUACUAGGAAACCCAGACAUUUCAAAGUUAGAGUUUCACAGCUUGCAGUGAAUUUGGGUUCUUUUUAAUUUGUUGCUUUAGUAUUGAAUUAACGUAUGAUCAUUGUGGUUUAUGGUUCACAUUGGAAUUUAUGUGUUGUUCGUGCUUGAUGAAUUUUCUCCAAAGGAACAAGGGAGACAAUGAGAGGCGAUGUUGAAGCUAUCGAUCCCGGGAAUAAAGCUGCUGCGGAACCGGUGGGAGAUGUAGCUGCGCUAUCGUCAAGGCUGGCUAGGAGGCUACUACAUGGAUCAUGGUGCCCUCCUCGGUGCCAGGGGAUAUGCUUGGAUCAGAGUAGGGAACAUUCAUGCUAUGGACACAAACUCAGGUGGACGUGGUGUUCGACAAUUCAAAACAUACCUAUUACAUAUAUUGGAAAAGGAAACCCCAGGCGUUUCAAAGUUAGAGUUUCACAGCUUGCAGCGAAUUUGGGUUCUUUUUAAUUUGUUGCUUUAGUAUUGAAUUAACGUAUGAUCAUUGUGGUUUAUGGUUCGCAUUGGAAUUUAUGUGUUGUUCGUGCUUGAUGAAUUUUCUCCAAAAGAACAAGGGAGACAAUAAGAGGUGUGUAAUAUGAACUCUACCUAAUGCCUUGUUGCUCUACAAAAUGUCCCAUAUGUAUUCUUCUGUACUCUAAUCUUGUUUGUUGUUGUUGGUCAUCCUUAUACUUUCCCCCACUAUUGCAAGGCGAUGUUGAAGCUGCCGAUCCCGGGAAUAAAGCUGCUGCGGAACCGGUGGGAGAUGUAGCUGCUGCGGAACACGAAAGUUUUAAUCAAGGAAAUGGUCCAAGGGUGCAUCACUGGAAUAAGCUCGAGACCACAAGUGUCAUAUCUCCUCUAAUCUUUACUCUCUCAGGUUCCAGUUGAAUAUGUUCAUUGCUACAAUGAAGCCGUUUUGUUGUUUGCUGUCCGCCGCCGUAUUCGGGGUCUUCGCCUGCCUCUAUGGGCUCAGGGCGGACAGGGGCCUACAAGAUCUCCUCGGGCCAAGGAAUCGUUCCCCUCCGGCGACCUCCCUCCUCCCUUUCGUCUCAGGCCUUCCACUGUAUCUCCAUCAAAGCGAAGGAUCAGAGGCUACUCCGUUAGGAGGAGAGGAAAGGAAUUGUGAGCCUUGUGUUGGAGAAGUCGAAGACUGAGAGUAUAUGGUGGCUCCAUUGGUGUCCAUGUUAAUGGCUGGCGUGUUCUAGAGCAACUCGGGGUUGUCGUAGAGCUUAGGGAGACUUGCCAACCUUAGGGAGACUUGCCAACCUUGUCAUCGCGUACCAUGCCAACAGAAUGCUUAGCUUUUACGCACCAGCGCGUGACGCCAUGUGGGAGCAAAGUUGGGAAAAUGGAUAUUGGCGGUGGUCGAGAGGUCACUCUUAUUGGAAGUCUAGAAAUGCCAAAGGAUGACAUAUGGCUUGUCACAGCUAUCCUAUCUGGUCUGAUUGAAUAAUGUGCGAAGAUAUAAGUCAUAUAUUUCUUGGCCUCCUAUCUUCGCCUCAGGCAGCUGGGAGUGGUUUUAUACUCGCUGAUGACAUCAAGUCUUAGGUGCUUCCAUUGAUCAAUAACUCAGGGAAAUAUGGAGGGAUCAUGAUGUGGUUCAAGUACUAUGAUGAUCAAGAUGGCUACAAUUCUUGAGUGAAGAGUGAUGUUUAGGUUGUUGCCUGUGGUGUGUCACAAUAUCUGUGUGUUACUUGUGUGUAUGUGAGAAAUUAUGUGACUCUGGAGUCUGGAUAGUGCAAUAAGUAUUACUCAAGUAUAUGAUUGAAUCUUCUGUCAUACUAUUCAAAUUAUGUCAUAUUGUAUCUUUUAAGGUAUGU